AUACGUAGGGUGCGAGCGUUGUCCGGAAUUACUGGGCGUAAAGAGCUCGUAGGUGGUUUGUCGCGUCGUCUGUGAAAUUCCGGGGCUUAACCCCGGGCGUGCAGGCGAUACGGGCAUAACUUGAGUACUGUAGGGGAGACUGGAAUUCCUGGUGUAGCGGUGAAAUGCGCAGAUAUCAGGAGGAACACCGGUGGCGAAGGCGGGUCUCUGGGCAGUAACUGACGCUGAGGAGCGAAAGCAUGGGUAGCGAACAGGAUUAGAUACCCUGGUAGUCCAUGCCGUAAACGGUGGGCGCUAGGUGUAGGGGUCUUCCACGACUUCUGUGCCGUAGCUAACGCAUUAAGCGCCCCGCCUGGGGAGUACGGCCGCAAGGCUAAAACUCAAAUGAAUUGACGGGG
rnacentral:rRNA from 1 species